rnacentral:rRNA from 1 species
GGAAGGGAAAGGGCUUGCUCCUUUGAUGUUAGCGGCGGACGGGUGAGUAACACGUGGGCAACCUACCUUAUAGUUUGGGAUAACUCCGGGAAACCGGGGCUAAUACCGAAUAAUCUGUUUCACCUCAUGGUGAAAUAUUGAAAGACGGUUUCGGCUGUCGCUAUAGGAUGGGCCCGCGGCGCAUUAGCUAGUUGGUGAGGUAACGGCUCACCAAGGCGACGAUGCGUAGCCGACCUGAGAGGGUGAUCGGCCACACUGGGACUGAGACACGGCCCAGACUCCUACGGGAGGCAGCAGUAGGGAAUCUUCCACAAUGGGCGAAAGCCUGAUGGAGCAACGCCGCGUGAGUGAAGAAGGAUUUCGGUUCGUAAAACUCUGUUGUAAGGGAAGAACAAGUACAGUAGUAACUGGCUGUACCUUGACGGUACCUUAUUAGAAAGCCACGGCUAACUACGUGCCAGCAGCCGCGGUAAUACGUAGGUGGCAAGCGUUGUCCGGAAUUAUUGGGCGUAAAGCGCGCGCAGGUGGUUUCUUAAGUCUGAUGUGAAAGCCCACGGCUCAACCGUGGAGGGUCAUUGGAAACUGGGAGACUUGAGUGCAGAAGAGGAUAGUGGAAUUCCAAGUGUAGCGGUGAAAUGCGUAGAGAUUUGGAGGAACACCAGUGGCGAAAGCGACUAUCUGGUCUGUAACUGACACUGAGCGCGAAAGCGUGGGGAGCAAACAGGAUUAGAUACCCCUGGUAGUCCACGCCGUAACGAUGAGUGCUAAGUGUUAAGGGGUUUUCCGCCCCUUAUUGCUGCAGCUUAACGCCAUUAAGCCACU